AGAGUUUGAUCCUGGCUCAGGACGAACGCUGGCGGCGCGCUUAACACAUGCAAGUCGAGCGAGAACCGGCCUUCGGGCCGGGGAAAGCGGCGAACGGGUGAGUAACACGUGGGUAAUCAACCCCUGGCACUGGGAUAGCCCGAGGAAACUCGGAUUAAUACCGGAUGGCCCAACAGCUCUUCGGGGCGGUUGGAAAAGGU
rnacentral:rRNA from 1 species